rnacentral:tRNA from 1 species
GGAGAGGUGCCAGAGUGGUAAUGGAGCAGCCUGCUAAGCUGUGAUCGCGUAAGUGAUCCCCGGGUUCGAAUCCCGGUCUCUCCGCCA